rnacentral:SRP_RNA from 1 species
GCCAGGUGUGGUGGUGCACGCCUGUAAUCCCAGCAGCUCUGGAGGCUGAGACAGGAGGAUCAUGAGUUCAAAGCCACCUCAGCAAAAAAGCGAGGUGCUGAGCAGCUCAGUGAGACCCUGUCUCU